rnacentral:lncRNA from 1 species
UUUACCAAAGGACUUCCGUUGCAACUGUUUGAAGAUUUUCGUGAUAGUCUCAACAUUCGUCAACCUCCCGUUUCGACUACGGGGGUGUAUUAGACUAUUAUUGUAUUUGAUUAGCAAUAAUUAUAUUUGAUUAGCAAUGAUUGUAUUUUGAUGAGUCAUAAUUGUAAUAGAAAACUCUUUGUAUAUAACCUAUCACAAAGUAAUGGAAAGGCGAGGCCUAUUAUUCUUACAAAAAUAUUAUCAUGUGUCCCACGACACUGUAUUACAUCUUCCAUAAUUUAAUUAUACAACUUAGAACAAGGACAUAUUACAAAUAAUUAAUUGCCAGCAAAUAGAACAGACAACAAAAACAAACUAACCACACAACAACCUUUCUAAAUAUUUUUGUGCCAAUGACGUUUAUAAACCAUAAAUACUUUUUUUUUUUUCCUCUUACGAUUUUCUAGUCAAUAAUAUGGUGACAUUGAAAAACUUAGUUUUCUCC